CAUUUUUCUUUCACAUUUUUCUAUCAACGAACUAUUUGGAUUUCAAGAACUGCUGAAUAUCAGGGAUCAGUAUCAAAGUCCCUUUGACCUUGAAAGAUCAUCUCGUCCAAUUCCCCUGCUGGAGCAGGAAAGCAUUAACAGUCUUGAUAUGCAGACUGUGGGAAAACAAGACCUUGAUGUCAACUGCUGUUGAUUUCAUGGGAAUUGCUCAGCCUCCUGCUGCUUAAAUUCAAUGGAAGACAACAUGGUCUAUCUGUAUGAGAGUACAAGAAAGAUUGUACAUAUCCAAAAUUAGUGUCCUGGUCAGAAGACUGUCCCUGACAGUGGUCUACAGGGCUCUCCUGCAGGCAGCAAGUAUGAUGUCACUGUUUGCCACAACCCAGCCUUUGUGAAUCAUUCUUCACUCUUGAAAACAUUUGUCAUUGCUACACACACAGG
ensembl:lncRNA